UGCUAAAUUGAGAAAUUUAUA
ensembl:piRNA 21ur-5615 ncRNA